rnacentral:rRNA from 1 species
UACGGAGGGGGCCAGCGUUGUUCGGAAUCAUUGGGCGUAAAGGGCGCCUAGGUGGCCAGGCAAGUCGGAUGUGAAAGCCCCCGGCUCAACCGGGGAAUUGCAUCCGAUACUGCUUAGCUCGAGUCCUGGAGAGGGUAGCGGAAUUCCCAGUGUAGCGGUGAAAUGCGUAGAUACUGGGAGGAACACCGGUGGCGAAGGCGGCUACCUGGACAGGUACUGACACUGACGCGCGAAAGCGUGGGGAGCAAACAGG